AAGACUAUGCUUUCAGGGGUCAUUUCUCUAGUUGGUGACUGGAGAAGGGUGUCUGUGAAAGGCUGGUUUUGCUAACUGCAAUGAAGAGCUGUAGUGUUUCUUUCUGAGUGUGAAACUGGCAGAGCGUGCUGUUCUGUGGCAGUUACUUUCUGCUGUGGAAGAGCGUCUUGCUCUUCCUGAGAAGAACAGGGGAAGGAAACACAAUCUGAGUGGU